UACGUAGGGUCCAAGCGUUAUCCGGAAUCACUGGGCGUAAAGCGUGCGUAGGCGGCGUGUUAAGUGUGAUGUUAAAUCGCGGGGCUCAACCCUGUCGGUGCAUCGCAUACUGGCAUGCUAGAGGGAAGCAGAGGCAAGUGGAAUUUGUAGUGUAGCAGUGAAAUGCGUAGAUAUUACAAGGAACACCAAUGGCGAAGGCAGCUUGCUGGGCUUCUUCUGACGCUGAGGUACGAAAGCGUGGGGAGCGAACAGG
rnacentral:rRNA from 1 species